UACAGAGGGUGCAAGCGUUAAUCGGAAUUACUGGGCGUAAAGCGUGCGCAGACGGUUGCGUAAGUCAGAUGUGAAAGCCCCGGGCUCAACCUGGGAAUUGCAUUUGAGACUGCGUAGCUAGGGUGCGGAAGAGGGAAGCGGAAUUUCCGGUGUAGCGGUGAAAUGCGUAGAUAUCGGAAGGAACACCAGUGGCGAAAGCGGCUUCCUGGUCUGCGACUGACGCUGUGGCGCGAAAGCUAGGGGAGCGAACGGG
rnacentral:rRNA from 1 species